AACGCACAUUGCGCUGCCUGGACAUCCCAGGUAGCAUUCUUGACUGAGUGUCCGUGCCCUGUCUUUGCCACAGCUGUGUUGUGCAGGUUGUGAGCGAGACUAUGGGGUUGCAGAGAAGAGCAGAGCCGAGCAGAGCAGGUAAAGUAAGGCUUUAGCUUGUCGUUUCUGCUGUUUGGCUGCUGCCCUGAAAUAGUUGACAAGUCACAGCUGUGUGUGCCCAAUGUUGUCAGCCUCUGGUACAAAGUAAUUUGCUUUGUUGGGUGAGUGUUGAUUGACAGGGGGAGUGGAGAGAGAGUAGGUGUGUGUGCCUGGUGUCUCUUGGGUUGGUACGAAGCGGAUCUCAGUUCAGGUAGGACCACCCGCUGAAUUUAA
rnacentral:misc_RNA from 1 species